rnacentral:rRNA from 1 species
CCUACGGGAGGCUGCAGUGGGGAAUAUUGCACAAUGGGCGCAAGCCUGAUGCAGCCAUGCCGCGUGUGUGAAGAAGGCCUUCGGGUUGUAAAGCACUUUCAGCGGGGAGGAAGGCGGUGAGGUUAAUAACCUCAUCGAUUGACGUUACCCGCAGAAGAAGCACCGGCUAACUCCGUGCCAGCAGCCGCGGUAAUACGGAGGGUGCAAGCGUUAAUCGGAAUUACUGGGCGUAAAGCGCACGCAGGCGGUCUGUCAAGUCGGAUGUGAAAUCCCCGGGCUCAACCUGGGAACUGCACUCGAAACUGGCAGGCUAGAGUCUUGUAGAGGGGGGUAGAAUUCCAGGUGUAGCGGUGAAAUGCGUAGAGAUCUGGAGGAAUACCGGUGGCGAAGGCGGCCCCCUGGACAAAGACUGACGCUCAGGUGCGAAAGCGUGGGGAGCAAACAGGAUUAGAUACCCGAGUAGUC